GAUGAACGCUGGCGGCGUGCCUAAUACAUGCAAGUCGAGCGAACAGACUAGGAGCUUGCUCCUCUGACGUUAGCGGCGGACGGGUGAGUAACACGUGGAUAACCUACCUAUAAGACUGGGAUAACUUCGGGAAACCGGAGCUAAUACCGGAUAAUAUAUUGAACCGCAUGGUUCAAUAGUGAAAGACGGUUUUGCUGUCACUUAUAGAUGGAUCCGCGCCGCAUUAGCUAGUUGGUAAGGUAACGGCUUACCAAGGCAACGAUGCGUAGCCGACCUGAGAGGGUGAUCGGCCACACUGGAACUGAGACACGGUCCAGACUCCUACGGGAGGCAGCAGUAGGGAAUCUUCCGCAAUGGGCGAAAGCCUGACGGAGCAACGCCGCGUGAGUGAUGAAGGUCUUCGGAUCGUAAAACUCUGUUAUUAGGGAAGAACAAAUGUGUAAGUAACUAUGUACGUCUUGACGGUACCUAAUCAGAAAGCCACGGCUAACUACGUG
rnacentral:rRNA from 1 species